rnacentral:rRNA from 1 species
CCUACGGGAGGCUGCAGUAGGGAAUCUUGCACAAUGGAGGAAACUCUGAUGCAGCGACGCCGCGUGGGUGAAGAAGUAAUUCGUUACGUAAAGCUCUGUCAGCAGGGAAGAAAGUGACGGUAACUGAAAAAGAAGCUCCGGCUAAAUACGUGCCAGCAGCCGCGGUAAUACGUAGGGAGAAAGCGUUAUCCGGAUUUACUGGGUGUAAAGGGAGAGGAGGUGGCAGUGCAAGUCCGAAGUGAAAACCCAAAGCUUAACUAGGGUAAUGCAUUAGAAACUGCGCAGCUAGAGUGCAGUAGAGGCGAGUGGAACUCUUAGUGUAGCGGUGAAAUGCGUAGAUAUUAGGAGGAACACCAGUGGCGAAGGCGGCUUGCUGGACUGUAACUGACACUGAGGCUCGAAAGCGUGGGGAGCAAACAGGAUUAGAUACCCGAGUAGUC